rnacentral:rRNA from 1 species
GAAUUCGCCCUUAGAGUUUGAUCCUGGCUCAGGACGAACGCUGGCGGCGUGCCUAACACAUGCAAGUCGAGCGAAGUAUCUAUAACGGAAUCCUUCGGGAUGAAGAUAUAGAUAUCUUAGCGGCGGACGGGUGAGUAACGCGUGAGAAACCUGCCUUUUACAAAGGGAUAGCCUCUGGAAACGGGGAUUAAUACCUUAUGAUACUUUUACUCCCCAUGGAGAAAAAGUCAAAGCGUAAAGCGGUAAAAGAUGGUCUCGCGUCCCAUUAGCUAGUUGGUGAGAUAAAAGCUCACCAAGGCAAUGAUGGGUAGCCGGCCUGAGAGGGUGAACGGCCACACUGGAACUGAGACACGGUCCAGACUCCUACGGGAGGCAGCAGUGGGGAAUAUUGCACAAUGGAGGAAACUCUGAUGCAGCGACGUCGCGUGAACGAUGAAGGCUUUCGGGUCGUAAGGUUUUGUCCUUGGGGAAGAUAAUGACGGUACCCAAGGAGGAAGCCCCGGCUAACUACGUGCCAGCAGCCGCGGUAAUACGUAGGGGGCGAGCGUUGUCCGGAUUUAUUGGGCGUAAAGGGUUCGCAGGUGGCCUUUUAAGUCAGAUGUGAAAGAUCACAGCUCAACUGUGGUAAGCAUUUGAAACUGAAAGGCUUGAGUUAAGGAGAGGAAAGUGGAAUUCCUAGUGUAGCGGUGAAAUGCGUAGAUAUUAGGAGGAAUACCAGUGGCGAAGGCGACUUUCUGGACUUAUACUGACACUGAGGAACGAAAGCGUGGGGAGCAAACAAGGAUUAGAUACCCUGGUAGUCCGCGCCGUAAACGAUGAGUGCUAGGUGUCGGGUGGUCAAGCCUCGGUGCCGCAGCUAAAGCAUUAAGC